rnacentral:rRNA from 1 species
ACGCUGGCGGCAGGCCUAACACAUGCAAGUCGAGCGGUAGAGAGAAGCUUGCUUCUCUUGAGAGCGGCGGACGGGUGAGUAAUGCCUAGGAAUCUGCCUGGUAGUGGGGGAUAACGUUCGGAAACGGACGCUAAUACCGCAUACGUCCUACGGGAGAAAGCAGGGGACCUUCGGGCCUUGCGCUAUCAGAUGAGCCUAGGUCGGAUUAGCUAGUUGGUGAGGUAAUGGCUCACCAAGGCGACGAUCCGUAACUGGUCUGAGAGGAUGAUCAGUCACACUGGAACUGAGACACGGUCCAGACUCCUACGGGAGGCAGCAGUGGGGAAUAUUGGACAAUGGGCGAAAGCCUGAUCCAGCCAUGCCGCGUGUGUGAAGAAGGUCUUCGGAUUGUAAAGCACUUUAAGUUGGGAGGGAGGGCAGUUACUUAAUACGUGAUUGUUUUGACGUUACCGACAGAAUAAGCACCGGCUAACUCUGUGCCAGCAGCCGCGGUAAUACAGAGGGUGCAAGCGUUAAUCGGAAUUACUGGGCGUAAAGCGCGCGUAGGUGGUUUGUUAAGUUGGAUGUGAAAUCCCCGGGCUCAACCUGGGAACUGCAUUCAAAACUGACUGACUAGAGUGUGGUAGAGGGUGGUGGAAUUUCCUGUGUAGCGGUGAAAUGCGUAGAUAUAGGAAGGAACACCAGUGGCGAAGGCGACCACCUGGACCAACACUGACACUGAGGUGCGAAAGCGUGGGGAGCAAAC